GAGGGUAUAGCUCAGUGGUUAGAGAACAUGUUUAGCAUGUAGGAGGUCCUGGGUUCAAUCUCCAGUACUUCCA
rnacentral:tRNA from 1 species